rnacentral:rRNA from 1 species
GUUUGAUCCUGGCUCAGGACGAACGCUGGCGGCGUGCCUAACACAUGCAAGUCGAACGAGAAUCUUUGAACAGAUCUUUUCGGAGUGACGUUCAAAGAGGAAAGUGGCGGACGGGCGAGUAACGCGUGAGUAACCUGCCCAUAAGAGGGGGAUAAUCCAUGGAAACGUGGACUAAUACCGCAUAUUGUAGUUAAGUUGCAUGACUUGAUUAUGAAAGAUUUAUCGCUUAUGGAUGGACUCGCGUCAGAUUAGAUAGUUGGUGAGGUAACGGCUCACCAAGUCAACGAUCUGUAGCCGAACUGAGAGGUUGAUCGGCCGCAUUGGGACUGAGACACGGCCCAGACUCCUACGGGAGGCAGCAGUGGGGAAUAUUGCGCAAUGGGGGCAACCCUGACGCAGCAACGCCGCGUGCAGGAAGAAGGUCUUCGGAUUGUAAACUGUUGUCGCAAGGGAAGAAGACAGUGACGGUACCUUGUGAGAAAGUCACGGCUAACUACGUGCCAGCAGCCGCGGUAAUACGUAGGUGACAAGCGUUGUCCGGAUUUACUGGGUGUAAAGGGCGCGUAGGCGGACUGUCAAGUCAGUCGUGAAAUACCGGGGCUUAACCCCGGGGCUGCGAUUGAAACUGACAGCCUUGAGUAUCGGAGAGGAAAGCGGAAUUCCUAGUGUAGCGGUGAAAUGCGUAGAUAUUAGGAGGAACACCAGUGGCGAAGGCGGCUUUCUGGACGACAACUGACGCUGAGGCGCGAAAGUGUGGGGAGCAAACAGGAUUAGAUACCCUGGUAGUCCACACCGUAAACGAUGGAUACUAGGUGUAGGAGGUAUCGACCCCUUCUGUGCCGCAGUUAACACAAUAAGUAUCCCACCUGGGGAGUACGACCGCAAGGUUGAAACUCAAAGGAAUUGACGGGGGCCCGCACAAGCAGUGGAGUAUGUGGUUUAAUUCGAAGCAACGCGAAGAACCUUACCUGGGCUUGACAUCCCUGGAAUCGAGUAGAGAUACUUGAGUGCCUUCGGGAAUCAGGUGACAGGUGGUGCAUGGUUGUCGUCAGCUCGUGUCGUGAGAUGUUGGGUUAA